rnacentral:rRNA from 1 species
UACGUAGGGGACGAGCGUUGUCCGGAUUUACUGGGCGUAAAGAGCGCGCAGGCGGUCGUUCAAGUCGAGUGUGAAAGCCCCCGGCUCAACUGGGGAGGGUCACUCGAUACUGAUCGACUCGAAGGCAGGAGAGGGUAGUGGAAUUCCCGGUGUAGUGGUGAAAUGCGUAGAUAUCGGGAGGAACACCAGUGGCGAAGGCGACUACCUGGCCUGUUCUUGACGCUGAGGCGCGAAAGCUAGGGGAGCAAACAGG